AGAUUUAUCUGCCCCGACUCCUCUGAACUUACUUCCAUUUCACUUCCCCGUUUGUUUUUAAAUUAUUGAACAAAUUUGCAACGUCUCACCUGCCGUUUCUCUUCACUUUGUGCUUCCAAAAAGGUCGGUGAGGUCAGCUGAGCAGACGUUCUCAGAAGAACCGAGGAUUCUUUCAAAACCUCCUUAAACGUUUUGAUUCUGCACCAUCUAAGGAGCAAUUUGCUGUUCACGGUUCCUGGUCUUUUCCAGAACCCCUGUGGUCUCUAACUGCUCCACAUCCAGCAUCAAGAAGAACGGAGAGAGAGAGCAACACAGAACGAUUCAUCCAGCUGGACUUCAGGUUCGUCCUUGGGAACUGCCAGCGUCUGAAAUGAAGGUGCCACAGAAGCUGAAUGAGGAGCCGGAGGGUCCAACCGCCCAAGGACGUCCAUCAGUCUUCAGACGAACAGAACCAGCUGGACCGCUUCCUCCAAUCCCUCAUCUUUCGCUUUCAACUGAAACAGUCAGACAGCUGAGGGGAGAUGAACACGGAGAGGAAUCAGGGUGGAUCCCAUCAGAACCAGUGGGGAUACCACGGGUCGAGGUCGGGAACAACGCAGAGCGAAGACAGAAACACCAAGAUGUGAAUAUAAAAUAAAGACGUGAUGCAGGGAUGGAGCUAGUUUCCAUGGGUUUGUUGGAAAACAAGGACUGGACUCCAGACUGGUGCAGCCGGACAGGAGCAAAAGACGUGCGAUUUGCAAAACAAAUGAAAAAUGCUGCAACCACAGGAAAUGGAAGCAGCAAAUAACAAAAACUGAAUAAAACAAACUAAAUCCACAUAAUGGAAGUCCUCCAGACCACCAGGGGGAGCCUGGAGCAGGGAAUACUACCUACAACAACAGUUUAUAAUACUGUAAACACCUGAAGUAUAACGCAACGUUUCUUUCUUCUGGACAUCCCGUCUUUACUGAAGGUCCAAACCAGGUUAUUAUAAUUAACUAAAACAAACAAAAUGACAAAAACUGACUUUAAAAAAAUGUUUUCGUAGCUGAAAUAAAUAAAAUAGGCAAGUAAUGGGGGAAACUAUAACCGACUGGGACCAUAUCCAGAAUAUCUUAUGUUUUCAUGUUUAUGAAUAUUUAUCAGCCUUUUGAACUGAUGUGAAAUAAAUUUAUUUUUCCCACAGAAGCCGUUUAUAGCAGCAGCACUUAUGCUAGUCCACAAAACGGCGACAGCAAAAUCUGGGAUAAAACACCAGGUUGGUCAACGACUGAAUCAUUUUAUUUUUAAAUUGUAUUUUCUGUUGAGUAUUUAUUACCAAAUCAAUGGGCAGAGAAUCACAAUACGCAGCACAAAAAGUUAUCAAAGUAUGAGAAAAUUAAACUGAUAGAAACUUGUAGACACACUUUUAAAACGACUUAAAGCUAACUGCACUAAACAAGCAAAUAGUCACAACAAACUAAAACUAAACUAAAGAAAAACCCAAAACUUUUAUAACUUUAGUCAAAGAUGAUUUGCUGAUCGACUCCCCCUGGUGGCCUGGAGGACUUUGCUCCUGUUUCCUGUGUUUGUAGCAUUUUGACAUUUUCUUCCUGAAACGGUUAGACCCAAGUCAUACCGCUGAGAAGACGGUUUCCCUGAUGCGACCAAAUGUUUGUAAACGCCUAAAUUUAAGGAAAGCUGCAAAAAUAAAAAAUACAUUUCUUGUUUUCUGGCA